ACCGUGAUUUUGCCAAGUAGGGAGUGUUCCUGGAUUAACAUCUCUUUGUUGAUCCUGGAUCCACAUUUCAAUCAACCAAUCACAGCCCUCUGAUGUCAUCAGUGUGUGCCUACCAAACCAUCACCGAUUGACCACAUGUGGAUUCCCUCCAUUUUCCACCCCAGCAGGCUAAAAGAGUGAUACUUUACAGUCGCAUCACAUAUGAUUUAUUAUGACUGAUCGCACUUUAGAGUCCUUAGUGGGCUGUAUUGGGCCUUACAGUCUUUCAGCUGGCCAUUUAAAAGCACUGUAUGAGCCAGGUUACAUUCCAGAUGUGGUAAUAGAUGCCCUCAUGUUUAUCAUCUGCAAGAAAUACCAGGAUGUGUACAGUAUUUGCACCCAGUCAAUGACGAAGAUUCUGUCCGGAUCACAGAGGGUCAAAA